rfam:Populus trichocarpa scaffold_8_contig_124, whole genome shotgun sequence.
UCUAGAACUCGAGAUAUGGGCUGAAUACUGAACAGUAUCUGGGCUGCAGGACAGAUUCGGAUUUCUUCGUUGUUGCUACAAUUUGGACUUGAAAACAGCCUUGUUAAAUCUUGGACUCCCGUGAAAGUUGUAGGCCUAUGUCUUAGCUUUCCAUC